rnacentral:rRNA from 1 species
AAUAUUGGUCAAUGGAGGCAACUCUGAUCCAGCCAUGCCGCGUGCAGGAAGAAGGCCUUAGGGGUUGUAAACAGUUUCAAUACAGAAAGAAAGUUUUCCAUUAAUGGCUAAGAGUCGGUACGGUAAGAAUAAGGGAAGGUCUAACUCCGUCCCAGCAGCCAGGGUAAUACGGAGGGUCCGAGCGUUAUCUAAUAUCAAUUAGUGGGAAGAAAGCGUGGGUAGGCGAUUAAAUAAGUGGGAAAAUAAAGCACAGGGCUCAACCCUGGAAUUGCAUUCGAUACUGCAGAACUAGAGUACGGUAGAGGGAAGUGGAAUUUCCGGUGUAGCGGUGAAAUGAGAAGAUAUAGGAAGGAACACCAGUGGAGAAGGAGAAUUAAUGGGUCAAUAACGACAAGGAGGGGAGAAAGGGGGGGGAGCAAACAGGAUUAGAUACCGUGGUAGUCCACGCCGUA